ACGAACGCUGGCGCGUGCUUACCCCAUGCAAGUCGAAGAGGUGUUUGCCCUAGUGCGGACCGGGUGAGAAACACGUGAGCAACUGCCCUUGGCUCUGGAUAGCUUCCGGAAACGGGAUUUAAUACCGGACAUGACUUCAGUCUGCAUGGACUGGGUGGAAAGUUUUCGGCCAGGGAGGGGCUCGCGGCCUAUCAGCUUGUUGGAGGGGUAACGGCCCACCAAGGCGACGACGGGUAGCCGGCCUGAGAGGGCGACCGGCCACACUGGGACUGAGACACGGCCCAGACUCCUACGGGAGGCAGCAGUGGGGAAUAUUACACAAUGGGGGAAACCCUGAUGCAGCGACGCCGCGUGCGGGAUGAAGGCCUUCGGGUUGUAAACCGCUUUCAGCAGGGGCGAAUCAA
rnacentral:rRNA from 1 species